GACGAACGCUGGCGGCGCGCCUAACACAUGCAAGUCGAACGAGAGAGAGGAAGCUUGCUUCCUCAAUCGAGUGGCGAACGGGUGAGUAACGCGUGAGGAACCUGCCUCAAAGAGGGGGACAACAGUUGGAAACGACUGCUAAUACCGCAUAAGCCCACAGGUCGGCAUCGACCAGAGGGAAAAGGAGUAAUCCGCUUUGAGAUGGCCUCGCGUCCGAUUAGCUAGUUGGUGAGGUAACGGCCCACCAAGGCGACGAUCGGUAGCCGGACUGAGAGGUUGAACGGCCACAUUGGGACUGAGACACGGCCCAGACUCCUACGGGAGGCAGCAGUGGGGAAUAUUGCACAAUGGGGGAAACCCUGAUGCAGCGACGCCGCGUGGAGGAAGAAGGUCUUCGGAUUGUAAACUCCUGUUGUUGAGGAAGAUAAUGACGGUACUCAACAAGGAAGUGACGGCUAACUACGUG
rnacentral:rRNA from 1 species